rnacentral:rRNA from 1 species
AGUGGCGAACUGGUGAGUAACACGUGGAAAACCUGGCCCAGAAGCAGGGGAUAACACUUGGAAACAAGGUGCUAAUACCGUAUAACAACAAAAACCGCAUGGUUUUUGCUUGAAAGGUGGCUUCGGCUAAUCACUUCUGGAUGGUUCCGCGGCGCAUUAGCUAGUUGGUGAGGUAAAGGCCCACCCAAGGCAAUGAUGCGUAGCCGACCUGAGAGGGUAAUCGGCCACAUUGGGACUGAGACACGGCCCAGACUCC